CCUGUUCUCGAUUACUUGGCGC
rnacentral:miRNA from 1 species